UCCUUUGUGGCUUUAAUACUUUAAAUUGAUUUUAGAAAGGAACUUGACCAAAGAGCCAUUAUUACUCAAGAACAAUGGUUCUUACACAUAAUGUGAAUCAUUUAAAAAAUUCUAGAUUUCUGAGACCCAGGUUCUGAGGUAGGACCUAUGCAAUGUGCUGUGAUUACAGAGGAUGCUGCUGUCAGCUAGACUUGUCCCUGCAGACAGCACAAACCUCCAAAUAUUUCAAAUAGAAAUUCCUGGCCAGAAGGUAAAAAUGGCUAGUCGGUGAUAAGAACUAUGUUUAAAGGCCAAAAUAGAACAAAGCUAACCUCCUUCAUUGCAAACGCACAAGAUGCCAUUUAGAAAAACAUUGAUGCAAUCACCCUGGCCCUGUUAAAUAAGGGGACCCUAAUGUGGCCCGCGAUCAAACUCACUUCCUCAUUAAGAGCACAAGCCUAAGAAAAAUCAACUUGCAAAAAAAAAGAAAUGUAUUAGUCCAUUCUCAUGCUACUGACAAAGACAUGCCUGAGACUGGGUUCCUUUGUAAAUUCAUCAUUUGAGGGGAGUCCUGACGCAAGGAGUGGGAACUGAGAAAAGAGAAAACAGGAAAUACACGCCAACAAUAAAAAGCAGGCUUUCAAAUGAAGAACAGAACAUCCAAAAUUUCAGCAAUGAGAGAUGUAAAAUUCAUGGAAACACUGACUCACGAGGUCAGUUAGCCAUAGUUUAAUGUCUUUAGUUCACUCUUUCUUUCCCUUCCUCAAAAGGAAGAAUAAGGAGAAAAUAAAAACUUUUAUCCAUAGUAUAUAAUAUCAAAUGAAGUAUAUUUCAAAGCAUUGCACAGAAUUAACAUCCUUGCUACUUUAAUGCUGUAGUUAAUUGUCUGGCCUAUAUGAAAAACUGAAAAAUGAGAGAACAGUGAAAUGAAGCAGAUGCCAAAGGAUUCUGGAAUGAGAACAAAACACAUCAAUAAUCCAUGGGCAGAUUUUCAGAAGUUUACAGAUGAUAAUCCUGAAAUAUUGAUUCAGCAUUUGUUUUGUUUAGGACAGUCUUAAGUACUUAGAAAAAAAAAUCUUAAAAUAUAUAUGCCUAGUCAAAGAUUCAAAGAGCAAAAUGAAGCUAUUUAUCUCCAAUCAAUGUAUAAGCAUGUAAAUUUUUUUUGUAGGUGACUAGAUAAAGACAGAGAAAUCUAGAAAUGCCACAACCUUUUAAGGUUUUGAAUUGCAUUUCAGAGAGUCUGAUAGUACACAAUAUUCAGAAAUUAAAGAGACGGUUCCCUUCUACUUUCUUUUCAAUCGCUGCCUCAAGAACAGGGGACCUUUGUUACACUCCAUGGUAUACUGAGCAUAUGUAUGGGAAAUAUCCUGUGUGGCUUAGGAUGAAAUAAAUAACCUCCUGUGGUCACAAGCCACUCUGCAAAAUGGCACUAAGAAGACUGAGUUUAAAGGCAGAGGCCUUUAAGCAUGGCCUUUGGAAUCAAUUGGUUAUUAACAUUGUUAUAACACAGUUUAAUUUUUAUAUGAACAUUAAAUAACACUUAUUGAACAAGCUCAAUUUCAGGACUUUUCUCCCCAUUUAUCUCACAAGUUUUUUUUUUUUUUUAAAGGCAACAGAAAAGGUCUCCCUAUAUUAGAAGUCCUAGAGUGACAGAGGAAAUGAGUCAUCAAGAUAAUUUAUGAACUUUCCCAUAGCUUGCAAUGCACGAGCAUAAUAAUCCUUUGUUAUUUAGCCUACUCAGAGACCAAACUCCAAGACCUUGAUGGAACACAAUUAAAACAGGAUUUCUGUAGACUCAAGUCUCUGCUUCACAUCCAAAAAUGGUUUUACCUUAUUGCAAUAUACUCAAUUAAUUUUUUUUUUUUUUUGAGACAAAGUCUCGCUCUGUCACCCAGGCUGGAGUGCAGUGGCGCGAUCUCGACUCGCUGCAACCUUCACCUCCGAGGUUCAAGAGAUUCUUGUGCCUCAGCUUCCUGAGUAGCUGGAAUUCCAGAUGUGCACCAUCACGCCUGGCUAAUUUUUGUAUUUUUAGUAGAGACGGGGUUUUGACACGUUAGCCAGGCUGGUCUCGAACUCCUGGCCUCAAGUGAUCCACCUGCCUCGGCCUCCCAAAGUGCUGGGAUUAUAGGUGUGAGCCACGGUGCCAAGCCUCAAUUAAUAUUAUUUACUAUUUUUCACUUUUCUACUGUAGUCACAACAAGCUAGUCUCGGUAAGAAAUUAUUUUUAAAAUGAAUUUUUAAAAAGUUUCUGGGUUUUAGGAACUUAUAAUUCAUAGGAGAAAAAGAGAAGCCCCAAACAGCUGGCAUACUCAGUAAAGUAUAUGGUGAAAGUCACAGGAGAGCUUCAAAGUAUUAGAAAAGAGGUAAUUUGCAUUCCAACAGAUUUUUGUUUUAUUUAAUAAUUGAAGCUUCUGGAUCAAUGGGGAAAAACGAAUCAGGCAUGAUGUUUAAAACUCUGGUUAUUUUUGAGAAUCUUUUGAUAGGGAGUCAAAAUGAUGUUCUUCAACUCAUUUCCAAAGAAAAAAGUGUUCAACAAUCUUAACGACCUAAAAGGUGUGUAGAGACUUAUAUUGUUAAAGAUAGUCACGUUUUCCAUAGUUUUGUAAAACUGUACUUUCUAAAUGCAAUUGUACUUUCUAAAUAUACUUUCUAGGUAUAGUAGAUAUUACCUUAAAUAUUCUCCCGCCUGUGAAAUGUCAUUUAGCUUGACUGGGUGUUGAAGGGUGUCCUCCAGGCUCAGAGCAAGGAUAGCCUUUCACAUCCUGUCUCCUCUCAAACACUGUGUCUUAAGGCACCUAUCCUCAACACCUUGGAAAAUUGGGCAAGGCCUGGCCUUCUGUCUGCCACAUUAUUUAUCAUGUGGAUGUGAUCUAUUGACAAUUCUAGACACCACGCAUGGGAAUAGGGGUUUCUAAGUUAACCCAUCAACUUCUCUCCUGAGCAGCAAGAAACUCCAUUCUAUUUGGUAAUAUUUGCUGAGUCAAAUUCUGGUUUGGUAAAAAUAUGUUAAGAGUGGAUCCAAUUCAGUCCUGAAACACAUCUAUGCACUCCAUGAGGACCACACUGGAUAUUGUUUAGGCCAGUGCUUUUAGUCCUGGCUAUGCUAGCCCACUUACCUGCCUUCCAGGAGACUGCUAAACCGCAUGUCUGCACAUGAGCACAGGUGUGUGCUCAUCACACACAGUUCUUACAUUACAUGAGGUUAGCUCCCAAUUGCUCAUUAGAAUGUUAAAUGCAUUUUCCUAAAGGUUAAGCACUUACCAAAUUAUGCAAAACAUAAAGAUUAAGAAUAUUUUUUUCCCAUUCCUAGACUAUGGGCCUGUAGGAGUGAAAAGGUAAUAAUACCUUUUCUUCAUAUAUUAUGAGAGUCAUGGCCAACACUCCUUUAACAAAAGACAGGUUAGCAAGAGAAAAGCAUAACAAAAUUAUUUAACAGUUUUCUAAGACAUGGGAGCCUUUAGAAACGGAGACCCAAAGACCCAGGAAAAACUGUGUUUUAUGGAAAGUUUGAAGAGGAAUGGACAGCCAUGUGGAAAUGUGAUUGAACAAAA